rnacentral:rRNA from 1 species
AUUGAACGCUGGCGGCAUGCUUUACACAUGCAAGUCGAACGGUAACAGGCCGCAAGGUGCUGACGAGUGGCGAACGGGUGAGUAAUGCAUCGGAACGUGCCCAGUCGUGGGGGAUAACGCAGCGAAAGCUGUGCUAAUACCGCAUACGAUCUAUGGAUGAAAGCGGGGGACCGUAAGGCCUCGCGCGAUUGGAGCGGCCGAUGUCCGAUUAGGUAGUUGGUGGGGUAAAGGCUCACCAAGCCAACGAUCUGUAGCUGGUCUGAGAGGACGACCAGCCACACUGGGACGGAGACACGGCCCCGACUCCUACGGGAGGCAGCAGUGGGGAAUUUUGGACAAUGGGCGCAAGCCUGAUCCAGCAAUGCCGCGUGCAGGAAGAAGGCCUUCGGGUUGUAAACUGCUUUUGUACGGAACGAAAAGGUUUGGGUUAAUACCCUGGGCCGAUGACGGUACCGUAAGAAUAAGCACCGGCUAACUACGUGCCAGCCGCCGCGGUAA